rnacentral:rRNA from 1 species
UCGCUAGUAAUCGCGGAUCAGCAUGCCGCGGUGAAUACGUUCCCGGGCCGUUGUACACGCCGCCCGUCACACCAUGAGAGUCGGGAACACCGAAGUCCGUAGUCUAACCGCAAGGGGGACGCGGCCGAAGGUGGGUUCGAUAAUUGGGGUGAAGUCGUAACAAGGUAGC